AUUGAACGCUGGCGGCAUGCCUUACACAUGCAAGUCGAACGGCAGCACGGGUGCUAGCACCUGGUGGCGAGUGGCGAACGGGUGAGUAAUAUAUCGGAACGUACCUUAUGGUGGGGGAUAACGCAGGGAAAGGUGUGCGAAUACCGCAUAAUCCCUAAGGGGGCAAGCGGGGGUCCGUAAGGCCCCGUGCAAUUAGAGCGGCCGAUACCUGAUUAGCGAGUUGGGGAGGUACAGGCUCACCAAGGCAACGACCAGUAGCUGGUUGCUGAGUGGACGAUCAGCCAGACGGGGACUGAGACACGGCCCAGACUCCUACGGGAGGCAGAAGUGGGGAAUUUUGGACAAUGGGGACAACCCUGAUCCAGCAAUGCCGCGUGAGUGAAGAAGGCCUUCGGGUUGUGAAGCUCUUUUGUCAGGGAAGAAACAGCAGCUCUAACACAGUUUGCGAAUGACGGUACCUGAAGAGUAAGCACCGGCUAACUACGUGCCAGCAGCCGCCGUAA
rnacentral:rRNA from 1 species